CAGUCGCCGCGGUAAGACAGAGGAUGCAAGCGUUAUCCGGAAUGAUUGGGCGUAAAGCGUCUGUAGGUGGCUUUUCAAGUCCGCCGUCAAAUCCCAGGGCUCAACCCUGGACAGGCGGUGGAAACUACCAAGCUAGAGUACGGUAGGGGCAGAGGGAAUUUCCGGUGGAGCGGUGAAAUGCGUUGAGAUCGAAAAGAACACCAACGACAAAAGCACUCUGCUGGGUCGACACUGACACUGAGAGACGAAAGCUAGGGGAGCAAAUGGGAUUAGAUACCCCGGUAGUCCCUGUCUCUUAUAC
rnacentral:rRNA from 1 species